ACACACAGGAAUAUGGGCAUCCUUCUUUGUGGGCUGCACAGGUAACUAAACGGCACAAAACAGAAAAAAACACAAGUUUUUGUUUUGUUUUUUUUAAAGGGAGGUCACCAACUCUCUUAAUCUCACACUUAAGAGAAAGCCUCAAAACUCCUCCCUUUUUAAAGUAAAGUAAAAUGACCCUUUAAGAGUCCAUUUAUGUGGUUUAUACCCACAUCCACUAUAAAACACAUUAACCUUCUAAACUGAGGCUUCGGUUUCACUUCAAGCGCUUUCAUCGCUUCCAGGUCUCAGCUGAGGUUAAUCAUCACACGACUAUAUCUCCUCUCUCCAAGCAGCGAGCAUUAGCCACAGUUAGCUGUGUCACAAUGGCAGCCAUAUUGGAUUACUGUGUUUUCACUAAACUUGUUUGCCCUCUCCCUCCCUCUCUCGCCGUCUCACAUUCCGUCCCUCACGCCCCUCGUCCCCCGGGAAACGGGGCCUCUCCGCUGCCAUGGUAAUGAAUGAGGGUGUUCAGCUGUAGGGGGAUUGGAGGCUGACAGUUACUGUGGAAACCUGACCUCACACCGCCCUCUGACACACUGUCUGUCCACGCGGGAGGGAAAAAAAAAAAAAUCACCAAAAUAAAAGUAUCGGCGUGAUGGAUGUUUGGCUGUCACAUGGUAGUUAAUCGAUAAAGGGAGGGCGUGGCUCACUGGCUUUGAUUGGCCCUCUUUGGGAAAUGGAGAGGGAGGCUAGCUGCUAUCAAUGCCGGACAGAUUCCACUUAGAGAUGCUUUUAUGCCCCAUCAAGACCAUUGAGUUUAAAAUCCACUUCCCUUCAUCCAAGUCCUGCAUGAAAUCCAAUCUCUCUGUCAAAGUUUAUCCACAUUUUCACCAUCUCUUUUUGCAUCAUUAUUAUCAUCAUCAUUAGUAGUAGUAGUAGUAGUAGCAGCAGCAGUAUUAUCAUCAUCAUUAUUACACGGUAAAGUGUCAGUUCAUCCACUGUCUGCAACAAGCCCUCCAACUUAAGUCAUCUUUCUUCUCAUUGGUUGUUCCUCACAAACAAAGGGUUUGAAUAAUAGGUCGGGUGGGGCAUCAAUGUUCCACUCUGACAUCAUAAAGACUGAAAGAGAGUCUUUUAGAGCCUUUGGAGCACCCAAGCCUUUAUUCCAAGUGAAACUGCAUGUGUGUCUUUUAGCUUAGGCAUUGGGUUAUAGAAAGCAAAAGACUAAUGGUAUGUGACAAAUGCACGAGUGUCAGAGCGUGAUAUUAAUGAUAAAGAGAUGCCAUACGUUUACUUUCAUAGUGCGCAUGAGACAAGCCCAGACAUGUGUUACAGCAAGAGGCAGCCUCCAAUAAUAAUUUAGUAACAGGGAGUCCCUUCAACAACCUCAAACAAAAAUUACAGCACUUUGCAAAAUAUGCGAGAAAGCUGUUCCCGCUAAAGGUGGAAACACUACACUUGUUUCAACACUUGUGGUAAAAAAGACACCACCAAGCUAUGACGCCAUGCGAGGAGGAGAUACUAGGAGCUGAUGAUAUGCUUGGAAAAAGUAAACAACGGAGAC
ensembl:lncRNA